rnacentral:ribozyme from 1 species
AUCUCUAACAAGGGAGGCAGCGGGCAGCGAGCGAACCCCCCAUCUAGUUGCCUACUUCUAAAAACCCCCCAUCGUCAA